GCCUGGGAUAGCUCAGCUGGCAGAGCACGAGGCUCUUCAACUCAGGGUCUUGGAUUCGAGUCCUACCUUGGGCA